rnacentral:tRNA from 1 species
GGAGAAAUGGCAGAGCGGUUGAAUGCACUGGUCUUGAAAACCAGCAUACUGAAAGGUAUCGGGGGUUCGAAUCCCUCUUUCUCCG